CAGCAAUUUCGUGGGAGGGGAUAAGUUGAUUACGUCGACCCCAAUGCUCAACUGUUAUUUAUUUUAUCGAUCGCGAAAUGACGAAAGGCAAAGUUGACUUCAGCAGAAUUUGAACGUAAAGACGGAUGAAAUGUUGCUAAGCAUUUUACUCGGCGUACCAACGAUUCUGACAACUCGCCGCCUUAUGAGGUGAAGAGUAAUAUUAGCAUGAAGCAUAGCUUCUCUUGGGCUUGUAAGUGUUGCAUUAUCUCACGCUGCAAAAGUAAUGCUCCUGCAAUCCAAGAGUAGGAGAUAGCUACGAAAUAUCUAAUGAACAAAAGCGAUGAAAUCCUUAAAUUCCCAAGAUGCAACAGUAAAUGUUGAUCACAUGUUAUAUCCUCUGUGAAGGAUAUGACAUGUUAUUAGCAGUUGCCUAAAAACGUCGAGGUAUUACCUGUCAUUGCGACAUGAGAUGCUGUUGCUAAAACAUUAUGCAAUGCUGUCCGCAGAAAAGACAGCUCUGGGAUAAAUGUAAACAACCCCUUUGUUAUUGAAUACACAAGGAAUACUAAAUGGAACAUUCCCAUCAAAAUUUUUACGAAGUGCAAACAGAACAGCUCUGAUAUCAUUUGGGGAUUUAAAACAAGAGAAAAAUCUGACAUACAAUAGUGAACAGUUCUUCCAAAAUCAACAAGGAGAUAAUUUAUGGAUAUUUAUGGAUAGCUGCUUCAAAGUCUGCAUCUCUUCCCUGAUUAUAAAUAUGAAUUUAUAAUAAAAAAUUAUUGGUGCACACGGUUAUGCUAACCAAUAUUUAAAUGACCAUGUGGAAAAGCCAAGAUUUUCUGGUAAAAAAAGACUGGCUAACACGCAUAAAUAUAAUCUGUAAGCGGAACAUUAAUAGUAAGUUCAACAUAUAAUAUUUAACGUUGUUGUCAUCCGAUUUGCAGCGAUGGGGCUUUAUUUCUUGUUAGAAACCAGCUUCCUCUUUACAGGAAGAAUUCUGAUAAAUAAAAAACUAUGAUAAUCAUACAUGAACUACCCAUCAUAAGAUCAUACAUUAGCUCGAUAGCGUAAGGUACCCAAAAUGAUACUAAUAAAUAUUUAACAAUAAAUCCAUAUACUUUAUUACUGAUCUGUGAAAAGAAAGUGUUUGUCAAAAUUUCGCAUGUGAAAGACCAGCUAUCAAGGCGACUAAAAAGCAACUGUAACAAAUGGUUUCACUUACAUGCUAAAUGGCUAGAAUAGUAAUUUCUCACAUUAUCACGAAACCACAUAUUUCGGUUGACUCAAUCAUAUGAAGAUGGAAAGUAAAGUCGAUUCUAAUAAAAACAAAACUUUGAAUGUAGAAGAAUGUAAGUAAAUGUUGUAGUACCACUAUUCCUACUACUAAAAUAAGAUGAGUACGUUUCUAAACAUUUUUCAGUGAAUAUUGAAUACAGUUCUUUGAAAAUACAUUUUAUUACUGUAAUAACAGAAGUCUUUUUCAGUUCCGUAUACUUUGUAAACUGAAAAAAUAUAUAUAUAACUUAUGCUAAAAUAUGUGUGACACGGACCGAUAACUAUGCACAAGCUGACGCACGCAUUUACUCUUUCCACGGCACACUUACCAGUAACAUUAAAUCCUCAAUCCUUUAUAUAACGGAAAUGCAUAAGAAAAAAUAUUUUCAUUGUUUGAAUACUGUGUUUAUACGUAAUCAUUGACGAACACUGUGAACAAGAACAGCUUGGUGUUGGCAAACAACGCCAGAAGUGAUUAAUGCUGCAAUACAAAAUGUCAAAAUGUCAGCAUGAAUAUUAAUUUACCCUACCCUGAAUCGAUAAAGCGUUUGAGGCCGAAGUAACAUUACCUACAGUGGUGAGUGGGACAUCUCUUGAUUUGCAUUAAAUUUCCAAUUAAAUUAUUCCAUGGCAUAUAUCAACUUGAACCUCAGUUAAUGUUACAUUUCUGCAACAACAGCCUCAGCAGUAUUAUCGUCAACGACAACGAUGACAGCAUCACUAUCACCAUCGACAACAACAGCAACUUUAGCAGCAGUUAUAAGAACAAUAACAACAACAACAACAGGAAAUGCAGCCAUUUAUUAAGGAAAGACAACUCAUAUUACUGAAUCUGUCGAGCAGCAUUAAUCCUUUAAUAAUUAGAAAUAGCAAUUAAGUGAAUUCAGGAAUUCACCGGCAAUAUAAUCCUUGCCAGCACACUCACCAAGCCCAAACAUCAAGCACCCCACGAGUCACAAAUUACACCAGCUUCUGCGACUGCAACUAUGAAAACAGUUUGAUAGUGGCGCGUCCGCACCACCAACACCAGGACAGUAUAAUGAGCCAACAGAAAAAAGCCUCUACACUAUUGCUCGACCUGCUAGAAAUAGCAACCAAAGCUCAUCUUAACGUCUGAAAAAUAAGGUGGAUUAGAUACCCAAGUCCUGAAUGCGAUUACCUCGUAAAAGGAAAACGAUGAUGUGGCCAUGUAUGAAACGCUGACGAUCAUAACUUUGCUUAAUCAAGCUGUUCUACAUCUAGACAAGUGAAGGCACAUGGCUUAAUGGUUAAGGUAUUUGGCGCACGAUCGUGAGUUUAAUUCCCGGCGACGUGUUUUGUCCUUGAGCAAGACACUUUAUUUUAUGUUGCUUCAGUCCAUUCAGCUAGUAAAAAUGAGUAAAACCUGUAUUUCAAAAGCCUCUCCACUUGUCAUAUUGUGUCAUGCUGAAUCUUUCUGAGAACUACGUUAAGGGUACGCGUGUCUGUGGAGCGCUCUGUCACUUGCACAUUAAUUUCACGAGCAGACUGUUCUGUUGAGCAGAUCAACUGGAACCCUCGUCCUCGCAACCGACGCAGUGCCAGUUUUUUUUAAAAGUUUACAGUUAGAUAAUAAACAAUAACAAAAGAACUACUUUGGACCACACCAACACCACUUAUGCAAUCAUGUCGACGGACGUCACAAAUGCAGCCACAAGCAAACGAGAAAAGCUUCUACAUAGACAACGAGGGGAGCUUUUACGUCAAUGAUUUCCAAUUGAAGUAUCAUGACCUCCGGGUUGUGAUAAGAAAUAAUUAAAGACCUUAAGAAGAAAGAAUGAAAGACAAAGUUGAACUCAACGAGAUUUGAAAUCGGAAUGCAUAAAGCCGUGAAUAUGUAACAAUUCUACAAAUCAACCAGAAAAAACUAAAUAUAUCAGAAGGAAGUUUAAGCUUCAAAUCUGUUUCUUUAAUUCUGCCUGCACUGUUUAAGCACAGGACACGUGAUACAUAGCACGUAUUUCUCUGGUGUCUAUGAAUCAUACGGGAUACACAUUCCAAAUUUUUUUUCCACAAUAAGAGUAAAUUGGGAAUUACGAAAGAGAAGGGCGUAUGGAACAAGGGCUAACUAAAAGUAUGAAAACAAGCAUGGACGUUAAGGCCAAACUUUUGAAAAUGCUUUUGACAGGUAAAAGUUUAAUGUCUAGGUGAUGUAGACUUCCAUAUCAAGCUUCAAUCUAGUGUUGCAGACGGAUUAAUAUUGAUUUUCAGCCCAACACAUAUAAAUAUGACAUGAAAUUGAUGAAAAUCUUUCAGCUAAAACUAUUCAUCUCCGUAAUUUCUAUUAUAUCGCAUAUGUAAUCUUUUAUUCCUUAAUAAAUUUUUUUUUUCAUUCA